UUACAAUCCUGUGAAUGAAACUUUGUGAUCUCAAGUUUACAGAUGAAGACAAUAAACUUCAGAAAGUUCAAGUAUAUUGCUCAAGUAGGACUAUUUGUGCCCAUGAGGGAAACACGAAGGAUUGUCAGUAUUCAUUUGCUAUCAGAACUGCCUUUGAACUUCAGGGAAGCCGCCAUCUUGUUUUUGUUCACUCCUCUAAAGCACAGUGUCUGCAACAUGAAACACUAAUAAGACACAGCUAUCCAGAAAGAGCCCUAGAGAUGGAUAAGGAACCUGUUGGAAUGCUCUGAUAUUAAGAAAAAAAAAAUUAAAUUCAAAACCAAAAACAAGCCACAAGGGAGUUUUAUGCCUAUGUAAUCAGUGCAGACAGCCGUUAAGUAAAUGAAGAGGCAACUAACAAUGUCAGAAAAGAGACCGGGCGGUUCCGGCUGACACUACCCUAAUCUUCCAGGACCCAUUAAAUGGCAGUUUCAACGCAUUACCUACCAUAACAUCCUUGAAUAUCACUGAUUUUAUUUGCAGUAUCAAACAUUCCAUUUCAUGCCCCAUUAACAGUGGGAGCCUGAGCUUUUUGACGCAGCUAAACAUUUUACUAACUACCUGGACUAAGUAACCAAUUAACUUUUGGAGACAAUACGGCCAAUUAAGCGCGAAAAGAAAAUGUAGAGAACAGGCUUUUCCUUUCAGGAUGAGCACAGAUAAUUUGUGUCUAUGGACAUUCUGUGAAGGCCUAUUUUGUCGAGCAGUGUAUUAAAACAUAAACAUGGCUCUUCCCCCAAGAAACUUACAUUUUAGUAAGGGAGCCUGGCCAGAAUGGAAAACUGCAAGGUUCAAAUCCUGGAGUGCAGAAGAAGCAUUAGGC